GACGAACCGUGCGAACGUUGUUCGGAAUCACUGGGCUUAAAGGGCGCGUAGGCGGGCUGACAAGUCUGGGGUGAAGUGCCGCGGCUCAACCGUGGAACUGCCUUAGAUACUGUCGGCCUCGAGGAAGGUAGGGGCAUGCGGAACUAACGGUGGAGCGGUGAAAUGCGUUGAUAUCGUUAGGAACUCCGGUGGCGAAAGCGGCGUGCUGGACCUUUUCUGACGCUGAGGCGCGAAAGCUAGGGGAGCAAACGGG
rnacentral:rRNA from 1 species